rnacentral:rRNA from 1 species
CCUACGGGUGGCAGCAGUGGGGAAUAUUGGACAAUGGGCGAAAGCCUGAUCCAGCCAUGCCGCGUGUGUGAAGAAGGCCUUCGGGUUGUAAAGCACUUUCAGUGGGGAAGAAAGCCUUGGGGCUAAUACCCUCGAGGAAGGACAUCACCCACAGAAGAAGCACCGGCUAACUCCGUGCCAGCAGCCGCGGUAAUACGGAGGGUGCGAGCGUUAAUCGGAAUUACUGGGCCUAAAGCGCGCGUAGGCGGUCUGAUAAGCCGGUUGUGAAAGCCCCGGGCUCAACCUGGGAACGGCAUCCGGAACUGUCAGGCUAGAGUGCAGGAGAGGAAGGUAGAAUUCCCGGUGUAGCGGUGAAAUGCGUAGAGAUCGGGAGGAAUACCAGUGGCGAAGGCGGCCUUCUGGACUGACACUGACGCUGAGGUGCGAAAGCGUGGGUAGCAAACAGGAUUAGAUACCCUAGUAGUC